UACGUAGGGUGCGAGCGUUAAUCGGAAUUACUGGGCGUAAAGCGUGCGUAGGCGGUUCGUUAAGUCAGCUGUGAAAGCCCCGGGCUCAACCUGGGAACUGCGGUUGAAACUGGCGAACUAGAAUCUGGCAGAGGGGGGUGGAAUUCCACGUGUAGCAGUGAAAUGCGUAGAGAUCGGGAGGAAUACCGGUGGCGAAAGCGACUCUCUGGACGGCAACUGACGCUGAGGCACGAAAGCGUGGGGAGCAAACAGG
rnacentral:rRNA from 1 species